GGGUGGGGAUGAAAGGCAGAGGAUGGAGGCUCCGGCAGGGGACAAGUUCCCGGAGGGGCUGCGCGUGCUCGCUGUGGACGACGACAGCGUCUGCCUCAAGGUACUGGAGGUCGUUCUGCGUUGCUGCAAAUACAACCCAACGACCGUGACGGACGCGAAGACAGCGUUGAAGAUGCUAAGGGCGGGAAGGCAGAGUUCGACCUGGUGAUCACCGACGUGCACAUGCCAGGCAUGGACGGCUUCAAGCUCCUUGAGCUCAUCCACCUUGAGAUGGAUCUGCCCGUCAUCAUGCUAUCUGUGGAUUGCGACAAGAAGGCUGUGAUGAAGGGCAUAACACAUGGGGCGUGCGACUAUUUGGUGAAGCCAGCGUGCACCAA